rnacentral:rRNA from 1 species
CACGCUGUAAACGAUGGAUACUAGGUGCUGGGAGCUUGCUCUCGGUGCCGUAGCUAACGCGUUAAGUAUCCCGCCUGGGGAGUACGGUCGCAAGGCUGAAACUCAAAGAAAUUGACGGGGGCCCGCACAAGCGGUGGAGUAUGUGGUUUAAUUCGAUGCAACGCGAAGAACCUUACCUAGGCUUGACAUCCAGGGAAUCUUCCAGAAAGGGAAGAGUGUCCUUCGGGAAACCCUGAGACAGGUGC